rnacentral:lncRNA from 1 species
CCCCUUCCGGUCCGCGAGCGUCACUUCCGCCGUGUCACGAUGGAGGAGAUCGGAGUGCUGUGCGAGAAGGCCCAGGAGGACCUCCCGGCGCUGCCCCGCCCCCACCCGGCGCUGCCCUUCCUGGGCCCCGAAGCCGAAGACCUCGAGGACCUCUACAGCCGAUACAAGAAGCUGCAGCAGGAGCUGGAGUUCCUGGAGGUGCAGGAGGAGUACAUAAAGGACGAGCAGAAGAACCUCAAGAAGGAAUUCCUGCACGCCCAGGAGGAGGUGAAGCGCAUCCAAAGCAUCCCAUUGGUCAUCGGGCAGUUCCUCGAGGCCGUGGAUCAGAACACCGCCAUUGUGGGGUCCACCACCGGCUCCAAUUACUAUGUGCGCAUCCUGAGCACCAUCGACCGGGAGCUGCUGAAGCC